UUCGGGCACUGUCAAAGAUUUUUGCAAGAGAGUAAUCAAAAUUAGGAAGAAAAGCAUGUGAUUGACUAGCCAAGAACUGAAGAUUUUAAGAUUAGCGGAAGAAUUUGCAGAAGGUGUUUAUCGAUCUGGAUGGACCAGAUGAAUGCAAAAUUUUGAUUUCUGUGGUGGAGAUGAUCGGUGAAUUCUGUGUUGAUUGGUUUAGGGAAUCUGCGAGAAAUCUCUCUCUCUCUUUACGCCAUCUUCGCCUUGAAUCUCUUCACCGACCCUUUCUUUCACACUAUCUGAACUUUUUUUGGUAGUGAAUCACGGAUUCUUUCUAUCCAAAGCCCAACUUUGAGUUGAGCUGGCUUCUUCCUUUCCGCUCAGGAGGAUUUGGUGGUGGUCAAAUUCAGUUCAAGUUGAGGCCAAUCGGAAUUGGACACCUUAUGCAUUUCGUUGAACUUUCAAGUGUUUGAUGGUGAAGUUGGAGAGGACGAAGAUAUCCUGUUGAAUAUGCAGUAGUGUUGUGAUUUUUGUUGUCUGUAUUAUGUGUUUGUUGCUGAAGGUGCUGGUGGUGGGAGUAAUCGGGGCUGGAACUAAUUGAAUUUGGUCGGUUCGGAGGAGUUUGAUUGGAACUCACUGAAGGUUGAAUUUGUCAGGUAGUCGUAUCAAAUGAGCAUAUCAUAAUGAACGGAAUCGUGGGCGGUCAAUGGAUUCUCCAGACAAGACAUUGAAUGAUAUACUUGGUAAUUGGAAGUCGUGGAUCCCUUGGCGAUCUGAAUCAGCUAAUGUAUCGAGGGAUUUUUGGAUGCCCGAUCAGAGCUGCCGAGUAUGCUACGAUUGUGACGCACAAUUUACCCUUAUCAACCGUAGACACCAUUGCCGACUUUGUGGUCGAGUCUUCUGUGCCAAGUGUACAGCAAACUCAAUAGUUGCUCCAUCAGGUGACCCAAGGGUCCCUCGUGAGGAGAGGGAGAGAAUUCGUGUUUGUAACUAUUGCUUCAAGCAAUGGAAUCAAGGAAUAGCUGCUCCAGAUCAUGAGAUCAGGGUGCUUAACCAGGAUAUCUCCAGUUCAACAUCAGUGGCAAGUUUGUCCAGUACUAGAUCUAGUGGCACUGCUGAGAGUAGCAUUACUCUUGCUUCUGUGCCUUACUCCUUUGAGGCCAACCAACAAGCUCAAGAGCAUUCUGGUCUCAGCCCACAAUAUUCAUCUGUUAUCUUAGCAGGCAGAGAUCAAUUGGGUGAAUCGGCUUCGGGAAGGAGCACUGACAUUCUUUCUAGCAUAGGAGAUAUACCACAAAAUUAUUCCAUGAACAGGAGUGCUGGCAAGGACGAUUAUGAUGGUACAUACAAGUCAGAUACUGAAGCAAGCCAUUCUCCUCCUCAAGUCUCAAGUUACUUUGGUCAAGCUGAAUUUGAUGAGAUUGGCAAUGAGCAUGGACCACAUAAUGAGCAGCUUGAUGAAGAAAACAACAACGUCAGAAGUUUAAGUAGCUCUCCCUUGCAGGAAAGUUUUUAUUCGCAAGGUCUGGAAGGAAUUUCCGAUCUUGACCAAAAGGGAGACACAAAUUUUAUUUAUGGGGAAGAUCAAGGGCAUUCCUCCUUGGACUUUACGGAUGAUGUUCAGUCUGAACCUGUUGAUUUUGAGAAUAAUGAGCUUCUCUGGAUCCCACCUGAACCUGAAGACGAAGAAGACGAGAGAGAAACAUUCUUUGAUGAUGAUGAUGAGGGACAUGAUGCAGGUGAAUGGGGAUAUUUGCGAGCCUCUAGCAGCUUCGGGAGUGGGGAAUAUCGUAGUAGGGAUAGGUCUAGUGAGGAGCACAAGAAUGUCAUGAAGAAUGUUGUCGAUGGACAUUUUAGGGCUUUAGUUGCUCAAUUGUUGCAGGUUGAGAACCUUCCUUUGGGUGAGAUCAGUGAUAAAGAGAGUUGGUUGGAGAUAAUUACUUCCCUCUCGUGGGAGGCUGCCACACUACUAAAGCCAGAUAUGAGUAGAUGUGGUGAGAUGGACCCAGGUGGUUAUGUGAAAGUCAAAUGUAUUGCUUCAGGACUUCGCUGCAAUAGUAUGGUGGUAAAAGGGGUGGUUUGUAAGAAGAAUGUGGCCCAUCGGAGAAUGAUCUCAAGGAUAGAAAAGUCUCGCUUGCUGAUUCUUGGAGGUGCACUUGAAUACCAACGGGUUACCAAUCACUUAUCAAGUUUCGAUACACUUUUGCAGCAGGAGAUUGACCAUUUGAAGAUGGCAGUUGCAAAAAUUGAUGCACACCACCCUGAUGUUCUUUUAGUUGAAAAAUCGGUAUCAAGAUAUGCACAAGAGUACCUACUCGCAAAAGAUAUAUCGCUUGUUCUUAAUAUCAAAAGACCCCUUUUGGAGCGUAUAGCUCGUUGUACAGGUGCACAGAUAGUUCCUUCAAUUGAUCAAUUGUCAUCGCCAAAGCUGGGAUACUGUGAGUUAUUUCAUGUAGAAAGGUUCACGGAAGAUCUGACCUCUUCUGGACAGAGAGGGAAAAGAUCGGUGAAGACAUUGAUGUUUUUUGAAGGCUGCCCAAAGCCAUUGGGUUGUACUAUUUUACUUAGAGGUGCUGACAAGGAUGAGUUGAAGAAGGCAAAGCGAGUCGUUCAGUAUGGAGUUUUUGCUGCUUAUCAUUUGGCCUUGGAAACAUCUUUUCUUGCUGAUGAAGGAGCCUCUCUACCAGAGCUUCCCUUGAACUCCCCAAUUACUGUUGCAAUUCCUGUGAAAUCAUCUGUUGCUGAGAGAUCCAUAUCAAUGGUGCCUGAUUUCAGUCUCCCUGCCAGUCAGGGGCAGCAACCUAGCUUAUCUAUUGAUGAGCCAGAAAGAUCCAUGAGCUUACCUACCUUAGGUCUAAUCUUAUCAGGCAAUAGCACUGUACCUUUUGUAGAAAAUGGCCCUAGUUCUCAACUCUCACAACCAAGUUCAUCCAUAGCAAAUUCAACAGCAAUUUUCUCUUCUGAUCCCAUGUCGUGGACAAUUGGUUCAGAGUCUUAUGGUGAUGAGCCUUCUCCAUAUCAUAUUAUGGAGAGAAAUGCAUUGGGUACCCGGGGAGAAAUGGAAGAAUCUUCUGAUAAUGGUUAUCAAAAACAUCAAGGACUAGGAUCUGUUGAGUUAUUGGGGAAUGACAAGUUUUCUAUUGAUACUGAAGACGCUAACUCAGUGGCAUCUGGCCUGCCAAUGGGCUCAGAGCCAUUAAUUGCGCAACAGAAUAAUCAAAAUCAUCAAGAUCAUGGAACUUCUAAAGAGGAACUGGGAGCAGGGAAAGAUGACUUCCCUACAGCAUCUUCUGCCCAUCAAAGUAUUUUGGUCUCAUUAUCAUCAAGGUGCAUAUCGAAAGGAAGUGUCUGUGAGAGGUCACAUCUCUUUAGAAUCAAAUACUACGGGACUUUUGAUAAACCUUUAGGCCGAUUCUUAAGGGACAAAUUAUUUAAUCAGGCUUACCGAUGCGAUUCUUGCGACAUGCCUGCAGAAGCACAUGUUCACUGUUACACUCAUAGACAGGGCACCCUCACAAUAUCUGUUAAAAAGUUACCAGAAAUUCUCUUGCCAGGUGAAAGGGAAGGGAAGAUUUGGAUGUGGCAUAGAUGCCUGCGAUGCCCACGAAACAAUGGCUUCCCCCCAGCUACACGAAGAGUAGUGAUGUCAGAUGCUGCAUGGGGACUCUCAUUUGGGAAGUUCUUAGAGCUCAGUUUUUCAAACCACAUUGCUGCUAGCAGGGUAGCAAGCUGUGGCCACUCCUUACAUAGAGAUUGCCUUCGUUUUUAUGGAUAUGGGAGAAUGAUUGCUUGUUUUCGCUAUGCUUCAACUGAUGUGCAUUCUGUAUACCUUCCACCAUCAAAACUGGAUUUCAACUAUGAGAAUCAGGAAUGGAUACAAAAAGAAAAGGAUGAGGUGGUGAACCAGGCUGAGCUUUUGUUUUCCGAAGUGUUGAAUACUCUUGGUCAAAUUGCAGAAAAAAUAUCUAGUGCAGGGACAAUUAAUAGCAUGAGAAAAAUGGAACUGAGGCGCCAGAUUGCUGGGUUGGAGGCAUUGUUGCAAAAAGAGAAGGCCAAAUUUGAGGAAUCACUCCAUAAGACUACGAAUGAGAAAGGAAAACAGAGCCAGGGUACUGUAGACAUUCUUGAGAUCAACUAUCUGCGUAGGAAGUUACUCAUUCAAGCUUAUGUAUGGGACCAGCAGUUGAUCCAUGCAGCCAGUUUAGAUAAAGGGAACUCUGCUGGCAGCUUUAUUGCAGAAUCCGAAGAGAGACUUGUGGUUGAUAGCGAGAAUCUCUCUGAAAUUAGCACCAACAGCAAAUUUGUUGAAGACCUUAAAUCUUCUGACUCUCGUCUUGCCUAUCAACAGUGUAAUGAAGGAUCAAGUAGUGUAAAGGAGGUCGUUACCAGCAUGGCGCAACCUGACAUUCAAAUCGAAGAAGUUGGAGAUUCAGAUUCAGACAAAGGAGAAGAAAGCAUUAAUGAUCCAUCUGAAACCCUAGAAUCAAAGACACAGCAGUUUUCUAGGAUGGUAAGUCUAUCAGAUACACUUGAGGCUGCAUGGACAGGUGAAAAUGGUUCUGUAGUUGGAAUAACAAACGAUAAUCCCCAUACUUUAUGCAAUUCAACUGUGACAGAUUCAUCAGGGAUCGAUAUUACUGUAUGGAAUGAUCGUUCUGAAGAUCAGAAUGUUGACAGGGUUACCCAUGCUGUUUCUCAAUCGCUUCCUUCAAAGGCACUUGAUGAUACCGAAAACUUUGCAGGCCAGUUAGAGACGGCUUCCUCAAACUUUUAUUAUUUAUUUAAUGAAAACUUCCUAGCUAGUGGCCAGAAACUUGAAGUACUAGCAAAACACAAUCCUGUCUUUCUAUCCUCAUUCUGGGAGCUAGAGUUUCAAGGUGGAGCUAGGCUGUUCUUGCCUCUUGGUGUAAAUGAAACUGUUGUUCCGGUCUAUGAUGAUGAACCUUCAAGUAUCAUAGCUUACGCUCUAAUGUCACCAGAAUAUCAUUCCCAGCUGAUUGACGAGGCAGAAAAACUGAGAGAUUGUGGUGAUUCGUUGCCUUCCUUUUCGUACACAGAAUCAUUUUUGCAGUCCUCUGAUGACUUCUCCUUUGAUACUUCAAAAAGUGUGGGACCUUUAGACGACAGUGUUUCAUCCAUCUCAGGACCUCGUACCUCUAUUAGUUUGGAUCCACUCUUAUACCCAAAAUCCCUUAAUCCCAGAAUUGUUUUCGAAGAAUAUGGCCCGCACGGUGGAGUAAAAUAUUCUGUUACCUGUUACUAUGCAAGACGAUUUGAAGCUUUGAGGAGGAUUUGUUGUUCAGAACUUGAUUUUGUAAAGUCCCUUAGUCGUUGUAAGAAGUGGGGAGCCCAAGGUGGUAAGAGUAAUGUUUUCUUUGCCAAAACUCUGGACGAUCGGUUUAUAAUUAAGCAAGUCACCAAGACAGAGCUGGAGUCAUUCAUUAAAUUUGCACCUGAAUAUUUCAAGUAUUUGUCUGAAUCAAUUGGUACGAGAAGUCCUACAUGCCUAGCAAAGAUUCUUGGAAUCUAUCAGGUUACGGCAAAACAUCUUAAAGGAGGUAAAGAAACAAAGAUGGAUGUUCUGGUUAUGGAGAAUCUUCUGUUUAGAAGGAAUGUUACCCGACUUUAUGAUCUCAAAGGAUCCUCAAGAUCACGCUAUAAUGCUGAUUCAACUGGGAAUAACAAAGUUCUGUUGGACCAAAACUUGAUUGAAGCAAUGCGAACUUCUCCAAUUUUCGUUGGAAACAAAGCAAAACGAUUGUUGGAGAGAGCUGUCUGGAAUGAUACAUCAUUUCUUGCCUCAAUCGGCGUAAUGGACUACUCGUUGCUGGUUGGGGUGGAUGAGGAGAAACACGAACUGGUUAUCGGGAUCAUUGAUUUCAUGAGACAGUAUACGUGGGACAAGCACCUCGAGACUUGGGUGAAGGCUACAGGCAUUCUUGGUGGGGCAAAGAACUCAUCCCCAACAGUGAUCUCCCCCAAGGAAUACAAGAAGAGGUUCAGGAAAGCAAUGACAACCUACUUCCUGAUGGUCCCAGACCAGUGGUUUCCGCAAUCUAUCGUUCCGAGCCAGUCUCAAUCUGACUUAGGUGACGAGAACAUGCAGGAUGGAAAAUCUGAUGUCGUGUCCGUUACGUUGUAGAUAGACGUGAGUGAAUCUCAGAGUACAACCUCUCACUUUUUGUUCGUUAUCUCGAGUAAAUUGAUUCUUUUAGGUAGAUUCUUUUCCCCCCUUUUCUUUUUGGUCUAAAUCUCAUUGUUGAAGAGCAAGAGGAGGUGAUGAUAAUUCGUGGUGUGAAAGAAGGCCGCUAAAGCCACUAAGGAAGGAGAAUUGUGCUCAUCCUCAUGAAUGCAAGACGAACUAUGCAAAUUCGGGGCGAUUCAGAUACAGAAGAAAGAAGAUUUGGCUGAAAGCGAGGGCCCUCAUCGUAUCCUUCACAGACGAUCUCCCCAUUCUCGUCUGUGUAGCAAAUCACUCCCUCCGAUUGAUCCUCGAAAACCUGUUAGUUUUUCAUAAAACUUGAUAAUCAGGUACUCACCAACCGUUAUUAUCGAAUGACUCAUAGAAGCAAAGUCACCCUAUUAAAAAGCAAUGACUUGGAUCGUGUAUCAACCAGAGAAUAAGGUUCCAUUCGAAUCGUUAUUUUCUUCUAUAAAGUCGUUCGUUUUAAAGGAAAUUGUGCAGACAGAAGAAGAUGAUGAAGAAUCACAAAGAGACACGAAGGAAGAAGAUGUUGACCUUGUUCUUUAUGGAAGAUCUGAUCUGCAAUGGGAGUGACUUCUUGAGUGGAAACUUUGUAGGUUUGAGCAUCCAAAUUCUGCUAAUAGGCUUAGCUGAAACUGAAAGACCAGAUUUGAGAAGAGAAACAUUGAAAGAAGAAGAACAACAAGUUAGUGCCAUCAGUCUGAGACAGUGAACAAGAAAUUGCAGCUGUUUCCCAUUUGUUUUCUGCUAUUUCCCCUUUAAAGCUUCAUAUUUAGUGCCUUUUAAAUACAAAUAUAUAGUGUUUAUUUCCAUAUUUGUGUGUAUAAAGUAUAGAGAUAAAAAAAAUAUUCCAAUUAUUUGAUCAUAGUGCAUUAUUAUAAAAUGUGCAUCUAAU